rnacentral:rRNA from 1 species
GAAACUGCGAAUGGCUCAUUAAAUCAGUUAUUGUUUAUUUGAUAGUACCUUACUACUUGGAUAACCGUGGUAAUUCUAGAGCUAAUACAUGCUAAAAGCCCCGACUUCGGAAGGGGUGUAUUUAUUAGAUAAAAAACCAAUGCCCUUCGGGGCUCCUUGGUGAUUCAUAAUAACUUAACGAAUCGCAUGGCCUUGUGCCGGCGAUGGUUCAUUCAAAUUUCUGCCCUAUCAACUUUCGAUGGUAGUGUAUUGGACUACCAUGGUUUCAACGGGUAACGGGGAAUUAGGGUUCUAUUCCGGAGAGGGAGCCUGAGAAACGGCUACCACAUCCAAGGAAGGCAGCAGGCGCGCAAAUUACCCAAUCCCGACACGGGGAGGUAGUGACAAUAAAUACUGAUACAGGGCUCUUUUGGGUCUUGUAAUUGGAAUGAGUACAAUUUAAAUCCCUUAACGAGGAACAAUUGGAGGGCAAGUCUGGUGCCAGCAGCCGCGGUAAUUCCAGCUCCAAUAGCGUAUAUUAAAGUUGUUGCAGUUAAAAAGCUCGUAGUUGAACCUUGGGCCUGGCUGGCCGGUCCGCCUCGCCGCGUGCACUGGUCCGGCCGGGUCUUUCCUCCUGGGGAGCCGCAUGCCCUUCACUGGGUGUGUCGGGGAACCAGGACUUUUACUUUGAAAAAAUUAGAGUGUUCAAAGCAGGCCUAUGCUCGAAUACAUUAGCAUGGAAUAAUAGAAUAGGACGUGUGGUUCUAUUUUGUUGGUUUCUAGGACCGCCGUAAUGAUUAAUAGGGAUAGUCGGGGGCAUCAGUAUUCAAUUGUCAGAGGUGAAAUUCUUGGAUUUAUUGAAGACUAACUACUGCGAAAGCAUUUGCCAAGGAUGUUUUCAUUAAUCAAGAACGAAAGUUAGGGGAUCGAAGACGAUCAGAUACCGUCGUAGUCUUAACCAUAAACUAUGCCGACUAGGGAUCGGGCGAUGUUAUUUUUUUGACUCGCUCGGCACCUUACGAGAAAUCAA